CGACCCUCAGGCCCCGCCUAUGCGGGGCCUGGUGUUGGGGCAUCUACGCGUAGGCGUAGGCCCCGAAAUUCAGCGGCGGGCCCGCCGAGACCCCGAACGCAGUAAAUCAUACCUCGUUCAGGGCGUCCCGGCGGGCGUCUCCGGCCGUUAAACCCCCAACUUUUUUAAA
rnacentral:misc_RNA from 1 species